GCAGGCGUCGCCAAGUGGUUAAGGCACUGGUUUGUGGUAUCAGCACUCGGGGGUUCAAGUCCCCUCGCUUGCCCCA
rnacentral:tRNA from 2 species